GAUGAAGAACGUAGCGAAAUGCGAUAAGUAAUGUGAAUUGCAGAAUUCAGUGAAUCAUCGAAUCUUUGAACGCACAUUGCGCCCGCCAGUAUUCUGGCGGGCAUGCCUGUUCGAGCGUCAUUUCAACCCUCAAGCCCAGCUUGGUGUUGGGGAUCGGCACAGGCGCCCGCGGGCGCCAGCCGUCCCCUAAAUCUAGUGGCGGUCCCGCUGCAGCCUCCUCUGCGUAGUAGUUUUCUCCUCGCAAGGGCAGCUCGGUGGCGACCUCGCCGUAAAACCCCCAACUUCUGAAAGGUUGACCUCGAAUCAGGUAGGAAUACCCGCUGAACUUAAGCAUAUCAAUAAGCGGAGGA
rnacentral:misc_RNA from 1 species